rnacentral:misc_RNA from 1 species
AAGUCGUAACAAGGUCUCCGUAGGUGAACCUGCGGAGGGAUCAUUACACAAAUAUGAAGGCGGGCUGGCACCUCUCGGGGUGGCCAGCCUUGCUGAAUUAUUCCACCCGUGUCUUUUGCGUACUUCUUGUUUCCUUGGUGGGCUCGCCCACCACAAGGACCAACCCAUAAACCUUUUUGUAAUGGCAAUCAGCGUCAGUAACAAUGUAAUAAUUACAACUUUCAACAACGGAUCUCUUGGUUCUG